GACGAACGCUGGCGGCGUGCUUAACACAUGCAAGUCGAACGGAAAGGCCCUGCUUUUGUGGGGUGCUCGAGUGGCGAACGGGUGAGUAACACGUGAGUAACCUGCCCUUGACUUUGGGAUAACUUCAGGAAACUGGGGCUAAUACCGGAUAGGAGCUCCUGCUGCAUGGUGGGGGUUGGAAAGUUUCGGCGGUUGGGGAUGGACUCGCGGCUUAUCAGCUUGUUGGUGGGGUAGUGGCUUACCAAGGCUUUGACGGGUAGCCGGCCUGAGAGGGUGACCGGCCACAUUGGGACUGAGAUACGGCCCAGACUCCUACGGGAGGCAACAGUGGGGAAUAUUGCAAAAUGGGCGGGAGCCUGAUGCAGCAACGCCGCGUGCGGGAUGACGGCCUUCGGGUUGUAAACCGCUUUCGCCUGUGACGGAGCGUGAGUGACGGUAAUGGGUAAAGAAGCACCGGCUAACUACGUG
rnacentral:rRNA from 1 species